AUAUUUACUUGUCAGGGAGACUGUGGCCAACAAGGUGAUAUUCCCAGGAUAACACUCAUUUACUGCACUUGGGAUUUACUGCUCCUUCUAAUUUCUCCAAAUAUGGGAAACUUGACUGUAUAAUUUGUGACAGUGGAGGAGUGUACUUCCA
ensembl:snRNA U1 U1 spliceosomal RNA